rnacentral:lncRNA from 1 species
CUUCUUGUUUCAGUCCAGGGGGAGAAGCUACUUAUUUGAUAUACUGGAAGUUGAAGCAGAACUUCCCUGGCAAUCAUUCAGAAUAAAAUUUAGUCCAACAGCUUUGGAGGAUGUGAUCUUAGUAUAUCAAAAUAGCAUGCAAUUGGGACUCAGAGUUUCCUUUUUUUUCGCACAGGCAAUUUCAUGGGAAAUAUGACAUAACAAUGUAUUACUUUGC